AUGCUCACUUUGGCAGCACAUAUACUAAAAUUGAAAUGAUACAGAGAAGGUUAGCAUGGCCCCUGCACAAGAAUGACAUGCAAAUUCACGAAGUGUUCCAUGUUUUU
ensembl:snRNA U6 U6 spliceosomal RNA